CGGAUGGGUUUUCACCUGUAGUCUCUACCCAUUUCCCACCUUUACCCUGCAGAUAGACCUAGCUGCGUGUUAAGGCUCUCCUGAGCCACUGCCCUGACGACGUGGUGAGUGAGUUGCUAGGCUACGGGCCGGCAGCGUCGCGGGUUGCCUAGCAACGGAUCUGCAGUGACGCGCCGAGGGCGUCACCAUACGUCAUCUUCCUGCACCGCCCGGCGCCGGGGACGGAGGCGCGGGAGCUGUUCUGCAUGGUGUUUGGCGGGCUACUGUCUUCAAAUGGGACAGUCUCGUUUUUCUAGGACUGUCCCACUGUCACACGCAUGGGCCGCAAUGUCACGCGAGUUGGGGGAUAAUUGGGAGACACUUGGAUACUGCUGCAGAGCAACAGAGAAUGGAUGACGGGCACAUGCAACUGUCUCCACAUACAGUGCCGACUAGGAGAGAGACUACAGAAGUUGUGAGGUAUGUGAUGAUGAUGAUGAUGAUGAUGAUGAUGAUGAUGAUGAUGACGACAACAUUAACACAGUAGCCCACAGCCCUUACACUACAGCCCACAGCCCUUCGAUGAUGAUGAUGAUGAUGAUGAUGAUGAUGAU